UCUGUGAUUUUGGAUUGGCACGUGUUGCAGACCCAGACCAUGAUCACACUGGUUUCCUGACAGAGUAUGUUGCAACUCGCUGGUACCGGGCACCAGAGAUCAUGUUAAAUUCCAAGGGAUAUACCAAAUCAAUUGAUAUCUGGUCUGUUGGCUGCAUUCUUGCAGAGAUGCUUUCCAAUAGGCCCAUAUUUCCAGGAAAGCAUUAUCUUGAUCAACUUAAUCAUAUCCUUGGCAUUCUUGGAUCUCCUACUCAAGAGGAUUUAAACUGUAUAAUAAAUUUGAAAGCUAGAAACUACUUGCUGUCCCUCCCUCAUAAAAAUAAGGUUCCCUGGAACAGGCUUUUCCCAAAUGCAGAUC